AGCUGGAUGUCGGAAAUGGUAGUUGCGUGCAGCUUUCAAGGGUAGGUGUGAGAAGUUGCUCUUUGCUUUCAAAAGAAGGCGUUUGCUUGGGCUUUAUAUCCAGUCUUCAGAGAGGUGAUUAUUCUUCUAGUGCUGGAGCCCGUUCCGUAGUUGUCUCAGGUGCGGUGCAAAAGGUAGAUCUGGCCCAACAGCUCUAAUCCGGUUUUUAAGUCUUGUUUAAAAUUUUUCUCAGAGCCGCCCCCGCCCUCGCGGAAACUUUGCAUCUAUAAGGGGCGGUUCCCGGAAGGCGGGUAACGCCGAGUUCUGCUAGCCUGCUACUUGGAAGACCCAGGUGCGUCCCGGCGCGGUGACCCACUUCUAGGAGUUGACGUUUUUUUCAGUUUGCUUGAAGCCGGAGGCAAUGGUGUCAGCUAAGAGAAUGACUUGUGGCUGGGAUCGUCCCUUCCAAGAAGCUCUCGGUCGCAUUCCAGCGUCUCGGUGGAGUCGAUGGUGGUACAAGAGUCAUAGCCCGCUCCGGAGAAGAGGCAAGUCACAGUCUCGUUCCUGAAGGCGCCAGAAGAGAAAUUACAGGCGCCGCUCGCUAUUCUGCUGGAGAUGAAAUGGAGCUAUUAGCACUAGCAAAAGCCUGCACAGCUAAAUCCUUAGGAAUAGCCAACCUUGACCUGCCAGCUAGUCUCAGAACUGUUACUGGAGUUAAAGAAACAGUGGAACAGCUGUACCAAAUACCGCAAAGCUCGAAGUAAACCAGAUUUAUCCAAACAAAACUUUAAGAAAAACUACUCUUAGAAAGAUCUGGUGAACCAUUUUUGUUUGAUUUACCUUAGGUUACACUCCUCAGAAAACCUAGCUGAAUGUAAUUUGCCAAAGUCAAAAUAACAGAUCUGAAAACAGUAGACAGGCUCUCACUCAUGAAAGUGGAACAGUAACGAACUUUGUUUUGGGGAACCAACUGGAGCAGAUUGGGACUGUUCCCGAAAGUCCCAUUUUCUAAGACAUCUGUCCUGGGUGAAAAUGCCCUGGUUUUCAGCAGUGAGUGCAAAUAUUUGAGGGGAGCGCAGGGGUACAAAACCUAUAUUGUGGCCCUCCCAAGAGAGGCUGAAGACAACACCCUUUUUUAUGAAUGAAUAUGGUGAUUGUCUGCCUUCUGUUAACCACUGAUACCGGCAAUCUGGAUUUGUGUGGUUCACAUAGUAUAUCUACAUAACAUAGCAUUCUCUCAGAGCAGCUUAAAUUCCAGACAGGAGCGUUAACAGGCCAGUUAACUUUUGUGCUUUGCAUGGAGAUAGUGCUCAUGUAAUUUUUAACUUUGUGAAUAUUGAGACCAUGGUUUCUAAGAGUUCAGAUAUGAAAAUGAGAAUGAGUUCAAUACCAAUGCCAGCCUGACAGUACCAAAAAGAAGACUAAAUGGCCCUGGUUUUUCUUUCUUUCUUCUUCUUUCUUUCUUUCUUUCUCUCUUUCUUUCUUUCUCUUCCUCUCUCUCUCUUUCUCUCUCUUUCUCUCUCUCUCUCUCUUUCUUUCUCUCUCUCUCUCUCUUUCUCUCUUUUUAGGGCCACACUCGAGGCCUAUGGAGGUUCCCAGGCUAGGGGUCCAAUUGGAGCUGUAGCCACUGGCCUACGCCACAGCCACAGCAACUCCGGAUCCGAACCUGUGUCAUCAUGAAUACUAGUUGGGUUGGUUAACCACUGAGCCAUGACGGGAACUCUGGCUCUGUUAUUUUAAUGACAGAUAGAAGGACACUGGAUUAGGGAUGUAAAUAAUCCAGCAUACUGUACAAUAUGCAGGAAAAGAAUUUGGGGUUGGCCAUGGUGGAGAAGGGGAUGUGAAAACACGUAUGGAGACUGAAUCCCACAAGUCUGGAAUGAGACAAGCAGGCACUUUUGAAUCAAUACAGUGUUUUCAUUGCCCUGAAGGACACCAGCACUCAGUCAAAAAUAGCAGCUGCUGAAUUAGCUUGGGCAUACCACGAAAGGAUGAACAUGCCUUGUCCUAUUGCUCCCUUGAUUGCUUAGUGAAACUGAAUAAAGUUAUAUUUCCAGAUUC
rnacentral:lncRNA from 1 species